GGUUAAGAUUAGGGUGGUUUGGGUUAAGGUUAGUAGGGUUAGUGUUAGUAGGGUUAGGAGGUUAGGGUUAGCAGGGUAAGGUUAGGGUGGUUUGGGUUAAGGUUAGUAGGGUUAGUAGGGUUGUUAGGGUUAGCGGGUUAAGGUUAGGGUGGUUUGGGUUAGGGUUAACAGCCACAUUGUUCGCAGCAGAACUGUAUUGAUCAUGUGAGAUCAACGACUGCUGAAGGCAGCUGAGAAACUUCAUAAUAAAGGUAGUCAAGCCUAAUGUUUAAACCUUCCACAAGUCCAAACAUCCACACCAUGGAAAAGAUCAGCUGCUGCUGGUUUCAGUCUGUUAGUAAUGAAGGGAACAAAACUGUCUUAAAGCACAACAGUUAGUUUUAAACCUUUUGGCAAAGUACAGCAGACUUUAUUUUUCAGCACAGAACAGUUCAGUCCAAAAGUCUUCAUAUUGACCAACUAGUUUCUUCUGGCUGGAAAUGACCGUAAAAUUGUUAGAGAUGUCAGCCAUGAUUUAUGCACUUUGUUGUACUUUUUUUUCUAAAAUGACAUUUCAUGGGUCACUGACUGACUAGUAGGGUUAGUAGCCACUGACUAGUAGGGUUAGUCACUGACUAGUAGGGUUAGUAGAGUCACUGACUGACUUGUAGGGUUAGUAGAGUCACUGACUGACUAGUAGGGUUAGUAGUCACUGACUAGCAGGGUUAGUAGAGUCACUGGCUGACUUGUAGGGUUAGUAGAUAGAGUCACUGACUAGUAGGGUUAGUAGUCACUGACUAGUAGGGUUAGUAGAGUCACUGACUAGUAGGGUUAGUAGUCACUGACUAGUAGGGUUAGUAUAGUCACUGACUGACUAGUAGGGUUAGUAUAGUCACUGACUAGUAGGGUUAGUAGAGUCAUUGCCUAGUAGGGUUAGUAGAGUCACUAGUCCUGUGUUUUUUUAGUCCUAACUAGUAACUGAGUAGAGAAAAACUGCAUCAGCUGUACUUAGUUUAUUAGAACCCAUCAGGCUUUAGGGUUAGAAUAAUGAAGAACAUAUUUAAUACUGUUAUUAAUCUCUAACUGCGUCUGAUUGUUUCCAUUUCCAGCCAGCAGACUCUCAUUGGUCGAAUAUAAACCUCUAAAUCAGGUCUGCUGUAAACGACUCGUAUUUCAGGAUUAAAGGCCUCAUUGAGCUUCUUGUUCAGUCUGAAGGUUUUUAUGAAGUGAAUCUCCAUCAGAGAACAGCGCCCCCUGGUGAUCAGCUGCCCUCCUUUCCCUCCUCCACACAUCCAUCACUGUCUGAAAAUUCACUGUUACAGCGUUGGACAGGUUUCUGUUGGAGUUGUUCUGAAGCCUCCAUCUGUCUCCAGCUCCUCUGAUGGAAGGUCCUAGAUGGAACUUUAGAGUUCUGCUCCAGAAGCUCCUCUGAUGGAAGCUCUGAUCUCCAGAAGCUCCUCUUUCUAAACUCUGCUUUGUUACACUUAUGUGUUACUGUUUUUUUGCACUGCAUCUUUGUGUUGUGUGAACCUGACAUUAAUGUUCUACAUCAAAUAUUUAAUUCUUUAUGAUAGUAGAGAGAAAAGCUUCGUUUUAAAGUGUUUGGUCUGAAGACCCUGACGAGGAAACUGAGUCCAAACUAUGCAACAGCAGUGUUCCUCAGCCAUGACGGUGUUUUAUUGAAUAAUGUUCCUCUGAUGAUGCUCUUAAUGCCGCUGUCUUAUAGAACUGUGUCUUAAAACUACAUCAGUAAAAGAAUCUGCCAAAUAUUCUGAUGUUAGUGCCUCCUUCUGCUCUGCUGUGCAAUCAUCUUCAACAGUUCGAGGCCACAAAAAGUCUUCAAGUCGUUCACAUGAAACGUUUCUCUUCCUGUACAGUCUAACUUCUACUCAAUAAAUCCAGCUGUUUUCUAAC
ensembl:lncRNA